rnacentral:rRNA from 1 species
GAUGAACGCUGGCGGCGUGCUUAACACAUGCAAGUCGAGCGAAGCAGUUAAGAAGAUUCUUCGGAUGAUUCUUAAUUGACUGAGCGGCGGACGGGUGAGUAACGCGUGGGUGACCUGCCCCAUACCGGGGGAUAACAGCUGGAAACGGCUGCUAAUACCGCAUAAGCGCACAGAGCUGCAUGGCUCGGUGUGAAAAACCCCGGUGGUAUGGGAUGGGCCCGCGUCUGAUUAGGCAGUUGGCGGGGUAACGGCCCACCAAACCGACGAUCAGUAGCCGGCCUGAGAGGGCGACCGGCCACAUUGGGACUGAGACACGGCCCAAACUCCUACGGGAGGCAGCAGUGGGGAAUAUUGCACAAUGGGGGAAACCCUGAUGCAGCGACGCCGCGUGAGCGAAGAAGUAUUUCGGUAUGUAAAGCUCUAUCAGCAGGGAAGAUAAUGACGGUACCUGACUAAGAAGCCCCGGCUAACUACGUGCCAGCAGCCGCGGUAAUACGUAGGGGGCAAGCGUUAUCCGGAUUUACUGGGUGUAAGGGGAGCGUAGACGGCAAGGCAAGUCUGAUGUGAAAACCCAGGGCUUAACCCUGGGACUGCAUUGGAAACUGUCUGGCUCGAGUGCCGGAGAGGUAAGCGGAAUUCCUAGUGUAGCGGUGAAAUGCGUAGAUAUUAGGAAGAACACCAGUGGCGAAGGCGGCUUACUGGACGGUAACUGACGUUGAGGCUCGAAAGCGUGGGGAGCAAACAGGAUUAGAUACCCUGGUAGUCCACGCCGUAAACG